AGAGUUUGAUCAUGGCUCAGGAUGAACGCUAGCGGCAGGCCUAAUACAUGCAAGUCGAGGGGUAGAGGUUGCUUGCAACCUUGAGACCGGCGCACGGGUGCGUAACGCGUAUGCAACCUACCUUGAUCUGGGGGAUAGCCCGAAGAAAUUCGGAUUAACACCGCAUAAAAUCACAGUACCGCAUGGUACAAUGAUCAAAUAUUUAUAGGAUUGAGAUGGGCAUGCGUGUCAUUAGUUAGUUGGCGGGGUAACGGCCCACCAAGACCGCGAUGACUAGGGGAUCUGAGAGGAUGGCCCCCCACACUGGUACUGAGACACGGACCAGACUCCUACGGGAGGCAGCAGUAAGGAAUAUUGGUCAAUGGAGGCAACUCUGAACCAGCCAUGCCGCGUGCAGGAAGACAGCCCUCUGGGUCGUAAACUGCUUUUAUUCGGGAAUAAACCUACUUACGUGUAAGUAGCUGAAUGUACCGAAGGAAUAAGGAUCGGCUAACUCCGUGCCAGCAGCCGCGGUAAUACGGAGGAUCCAAGCGUUAUCCGGAUUUAUUGGGUUUAAAGGGUGCGUAGGCGGCCUGUUAAGUCAGGGGUGAAAGACGGUAGCUCAACUAUCGCAGUGCCCUUGAUACUGAUGGGCUUGAAUACACUAGAGGUAGGCGGAAUGUGACAAGUAGCGGUGAAAUGCAUAGAUAUGUCACAGAACACCGAUUGCGAAGGCAGCUUACUAUGGUGU
rnacentral:rRNA from 1 species